rnacentral:rRNA from 1 species
AGCGGCGGACGGGUGAGUAACACGUGGGUAACCUGCCCAAGAGACUGGGAUAACACCUGGAAACAGAUGCUAAUACCGGAUAACAACACUAGACGCAUGUCUAGAGUUUGAAAGAUGGUUCUGCUAUCACUCUUGGAUGGACCUGCGGUGCAUUAGCUAGUUGGUAAGGUAACGGCUUACCAAGGCAAUGAUGCAUAGCCGAGUUGAGAGACUGAUCGGCCACAUUGGGACUGAGACACGGCCCAAACUCCUACGGGAGGCAGCAGUAGGGAACCUUCCACAAUGGACGAAAGUCUGAUGGAGCAACGCCGCGUGAGUGAAGAAGGGUUUCGGCUCGUAAAGCUCUGUUGGUAGUGAAGAAAGAUAGAGGUAGUAACUGGCCUUUAUUUGACGGUAAUUACUUAGAAAGUCACGGCUAACUACGUGCCAGCAGCCGCGGUAAUACGUAGGUGGCAAGCGUUGUCCGGAUUUAUUGGGCGUAAAGCGAGUGCAGGCGGUUCAAUAAGUCUGAUGUGAAAGCCUUCGGCUCAACCGGAGAAUUGCAUCAGAAACUGUUGAACUUGAGUGCAGAAGAGGAGAGUGGAACUCCAUGUGUAGCGGUGGAAUGCGUAGAUAUAUGGAAGAACACCAGUGGCGAAGGCGGCUCUCUGGUCUGCAACUGACGCUGAGGCUCGAAAGCAUGGGUAGCGAACAGGAUUAGAUACCCUGGUAGUCCAUGCCGUAAACGAUGAGUGCUAAGUGU